rnacentral:rRNA from 1 species
GACGAACCGUGCGAACGUUGUUCGGAAUCACUGGGCUUAAAGGGCGCGUAGGCGGUCUUCCCCGUCCGGGGUGAAAUCUUUCGGCCCAACCGGAAAAGGGCCCCGGAAACAGGAAGACUGGAGGGGGAUAGGGGCGGACGGAACUUCCGGUGGAGCGGUGAAAUGCGUUGAUAUCGGAAGGAACGCCGGUGGCGAAAGCGGUCCGCUGGGUCCCUACUGACGCUGAGGCGCGAAAGCCAGGGGAG